GAUGAAGAACGUAGCAAAAUGCGAUAAGUAAUGUGAAUUGCAGAAUUCCGUGAAUCAUCGAAUCUUUGAACGCACAUUGCGCCCCCUGGUAUUCCGGGGGGCAUGCCUGUCCGAGCGUCAUUGCAACCUUCAAGCGCGGCUUGUGUGUUGGGUCUCGUCCCCCGUGGACGGGCCCGAAAGGCAGUGGCGGCGUCCCGACAUGGUGCCUGAGCGUAUGGGAAUCCUCUUCCGCUCGAAUCGGCCCAUGCGGCGCUGGUCGUAACCAAAUUUUUUACCGGUUGACCUCGGAUCAGGUAGGGAUACCCGCUGAACUUAAGCAUAUCAAUAAGCGGAGGA
rnacentral:misc_RNA from 1 species